UGCUUGGCGCGCAUCUUCUCGCGUUUCGCCUUCCACUCCUCCAGGAAGUCUGUGGUGCUGCCGCCGAGGCCGCUGCUGGUCCGGUAGCCACCGGUCGCCAUAUUCCCAAAGGGGCCGGUCGGGCUCUCACCUCAGGCCGCCCACCAGGGCUCCGGCCGCUGCCUCCUCUUCCUUCCUGCGGCCCCGAGGAUGCCAGGAGACGACCUCCAGGAGAGGGACGGCCGCCGCUCCCACAGCAGCCGGCGGGGCUGAGGUGUUAAGAUUUGGGUUUUAGACCCUCUUCUGGCUCACUAAAACCUGGAUUCAGGAAGAAAGAGAAGCACCAGAUAUAGACAGUUCACAAAUUGGGUAAUC
ensembl:lncRNA PPP1R12A-AS2 PPP1R12A antisense RNA 2